rnacentral:rRNA from 1 species
GACGAACGCUGGCGGCGUGCUUAACACAUGCAAGUCGAACGGAAAGGCCCUGCUUUUGUGGGGUGCUCGAGUGGCGAACGGGUGAGUAACAAGUGAGUAACCUGCCCUUGACUUUGGGAUAACUUCGGGAAACUGGGGCUAAUACCGGAUAGGAGCUCCUGCUGCAUGGUGGGGGUUGGAAAGUUUCGGCGGUUGGGGAUGGACUCGCGGCUUAUCAGCUUGUUGGUGGGGUAGUGGCUUACCAAGGCUUUGACGGGUAGCCGGCCUGAGAGGGUGACCGGCCACAUUGGGACUUAGAUACGGCCCAGACUCCUACGGGAGGCAUCAGUGGGGAAUAUUGCACAAUGGGCGGAAGCCUGAUGCAGCAACUCCGCGUGCGGGAUGACGGCCUUCGGGUUGUAAACCUCUUUCGCCUGUGACGAAGCGUGAGUGACGGUAAUGGGUAAAGAAGCACCGGCUAACUACUUG